AUGAAGACCGCGCAGGCCCUGCUCCUGGUCUCCCUCGCCCUCAUGGUGCUAUCAUCGGGCAGUACACGCACGGCGUCUGCGGCAGAAGGUGGCGGCGUCGUGGUGCCGGCGGCGGACUGCUCGGGGACGGUGAUCGGGCGGGGCGAGGCGUGCGAGCCCCGGAACUGCGAGGCGGAGUGCCGGAGGCAGUACGACGGGUUGGGCGCGUGCACCGCCUUGGGGUGCAGCUGCGCCUUCUGCGUCAAGUACCCUCCCUCCUCCACCGCACAAGGAAACUAA
rnacentral:rRNA from 1 species